rnacentral:lncRNA from 1 species
CGAUGGUCACUCAUGGUCACUCAGUGGUCACUCAGAGGUCACUCGGGCAGGUCGGUGGUCACUCAGGAAGGUUGGUGGUCACUCAGUGGUCACUCGUGGUCACUCGGGCAGGUCGGUGGUCACUCAGGAAGGUUGGUGGUCACUCAGAGGUCACUCGGGCAGGUCGAUGGUCACUCUGGUCACUCAGUGGUCACUCAGGUCACUCGGGCAGGUCGAUGACCAGCUCGUCGUCCCCAUCCAGGGGGUCGUCGCUGCCCUCGCCCUCCCCCUCCCCCCCCCCGGGGCCGCUCAGGAGCCGCCGGGGCAGCGUGGGGGGCACGGGGGGAGGGGCUGGGGGCGGGGCCGGCGCCGGCGGGGGGGGGG